AACGAACGCUGGCGGCAUGCCUAACACAUGCAAGUCGAACGACACCUUCGGGUCUAGUGGCGCACGCGUGCGUAACGCGUGGUAACCUGCCCUUAGGUUCGGAAUAACUCCCCGAAAGGGGUGCUAAUACCGGAUAAUGUCUUCGGACCAAAGAUUUAUCGCCUUUGGAUGGGCCCGCGUUGGAUUAGCUAGUUGGUAGGGUAAAAGCCUACCAAGGCGACGAUCCAUAGCUGGUCUGAGAGGAUGAUCAGCCACACUGGGACUGAGACACGGCCCAGACUCCUACGGGAGGCAGCAGUGGGGCAUAUUGGACACUGGGCGAAAGCCUGAUCCCGCCAUGCCGCGUGAGUGAUGAAGGCCUUAGGGUUGUAAAGCUCUUUUACCCGGGAUGAUAAUGACAGUACCGGGAGAAUAAGCUCCGGCUAACUCCGUG
rnacentral:rRNA from 1 species